GGCACUGUGGCUUAGCUGGUCAAAGUGCCUUUUUUCUAAAUGGGAGAUCCUGGGUUCAAAUCCCAGCGGUGCCU